AUCUAGGUCGCAUAGAGGCUUAUUGCGCCCGGUUGAUAACCGGGUAUGGUUCCGGCCAUCGCGGGUUCGAAUCCCGUCCUAGCCGCUA
rnacentral:tRNA from 1 species